UUCAGAACCAUAUCACCCUGCAGCUCUCACCUGGUUUCCUAUCAAAGCUAAGGAGGCUUGAGCCUGGCCAGUACCUGGAUGGGAGACCUCCUGGGGAAAACUAAUGUUGCUGCUGGAA
rnacentral:rRNA from 1 species